rnacentral:rRNA from 1 species
UAGACCCGAAACCAGGUGAUCUACCCUUGGUCAGGUUGAAGUUCAGGUAACACUGAAUGGAGGACCGAACCGACUUACGUUGAAAAGUGAGCGGAUGAACUGAGGGUAGCGGAGAAAUUCCAAUCGAACCUGGAGAUAGCUGGUUCUCUCCGAAAUAGCUUUAGGGCUAGCCUCAAGUGAUGAUUAUUGGAGGUAGAGCACUGUUUGGACGAGGGGCCCCUCUCGGGUUACCGAAUUCAGACAAACUCCGAAUGCCAAUUAAUUUAACUUGGGAGUCAGAACAUGGGUGAUAAGGUCCGUGUUCGAAAGGGAAACAGCCCAGACCACCAGCUAAGGUCCCAAAAUAUAUGUUAAGUGGAAAAGGAUGUGGCGUUGCCCAGACAACUAGGAUGUUGGCUUAGAAGCAGCCAUCAUUUAAAGAGUGCGUAAUAGCUCACUAGUCGAGUGACACUGCGCCGAAAAUGUACCGGGGCUAAACAUAUUACCGAAGCUGUGGAUUGUCCUUUGGACAAUGGUAGGAGAGCGUUCUAAGGGCGUUGAAGCAUGAUCGUAAGGACAUGUGGAGCGCUUAGAAGUGAGAAUGCCGGUGUGAGUAGCGAAAGA